rnacentral:rRNA from 1 species
UACGGGGGGGCAAGCGUUGUUCGGAAUUACUGGGCGUAAAGGGCUCGUAGGCGGCCAACUAAGUCGGAUGUGAAAUCCCCAGGCUCAACCUGGGAACUGCAUCCGAUACUGGAUGGCUUGAAUUCGGGAGAGGGAUGCAGAAUUCCAGGUGUAGCGGUGAAAUGCGCAGAUAUCAGGAGGAACACCGGUGGCGAAGGCGGUGAUCUGGGCCGGCACUGACGCUGAGGAGCGAAAGCGUGGGUAGCAAACAGG